rnacentral:rRNA from 1 species
GACGAACGCUGGCGGCGUGCCUAAUACAUGCAAGUCGAACGCAGUGGGGACGGGUGAGUAACACGUGGGUAACCUCCCAUCAGAGGGGAUAACACUUGGAAACAGGUGCUAAACCGAUACGGAUGGCUGGACCUGCGGUGCAGUAGAGAGUUGGUGAGGUAACGGCUCAACAAGGCCACAAUGCAUAGCCGACCGAAGAGGGGGAUGGGCCACAAGGGUACUGAGACACGGCCCAGACUCCUACGGGAGGCAGCAGUAGUGAAUCUUCGGCAAUGGACGAAAGUCUGACCGAGCAACGCCGCGUGAGUGAAGAAGGUUUUCGGAUCGUAAAACUCUGUUGUUAGAGAAGCGGUAUCUAACCAGAAAGCCACGGCUAACUACGUGCCAGCCGCCGCGGUAAUUC